UCUCCGUUGGUGAACCAGCGGAGGGAUCAUUACCGAGUUUACAACUCCCAAACCCCUGUGAACAUACCUGUUUUGUUGCUUCGGCGGUGCCCUCGCUCUCGCGGCGAGGCCCGCCAGAGGACCCAAACAAACUCUUUGACUUUGAUCUAGGAUUAUACUUCUGAGUGAUACAAAAAAAUAAAAUCAAAACUUUCAACAACGGAUCUCUUGGUUCUG
rnacentral:misc_RNA from 1 species